ensembl:lncRNA
CCAACAUGGCUGGGAUCAAGUGCACCCGCCCAACGUCGCAAUCCCGCCCGCGUUCACAGACCUGUGGCUCCUCCUGUGCGCUCGCUAUUCAGACGGAGGCGGCUCAGUUCUUUGGUCUGCCGGCUCGGCCUUCAUCGUGUGCGGUUUAGAGACUGCGCGUCCUCCCCCCCGCGUCAGCCGUGGCCGGUGACGUGCCGGGGCUCUGCCUCUUGUGGGACAGGGGGCUCACCCUGGGGUGUUCCGGCGAUCGGGUUUGCGUUGCGCUCGGGCUCUUUUCGCCCGGCGUCGGCUUUUCGAAAGUUUGCGGCGACGGCGGAGCGACCGGGCUCUUCUUCUCCCACGUGGCGGGAAAAGCGGCCUUCCUCUCCGGGCUCUCGGUUGCGGCAGGAGGCCUCUCGAGGACGGGCCGAGCUGCCUCCGCCUCGGGCUCCCGUUUCCCCCCGUCACCGGCUGGACGGACGGAGAGCGAAAGGAAACGAAUCUAUCAAAGAAUAAAUGCUCUUCAGUUGUUUUGAAGUGUGAACACCUCUCUCACCCUCCGGAGCUAUUUUUGCUUCCUCCCUUCCAGAUGAAUCUUCGGUGCAGGUGGGCAGGUCUCCUCUGUUUCCACGGAAACGGAUGGGGGAUCUUUGUAACACUGCCUUCAGCUCUUUAGAGGGAGACAACCAAGAAUUAAGUUCCUCAAGACCAAGUUCCUCUUUGAUUCGUGAAAACACAGAGAGAUUAUGAACCUUUCGUUUUAGUGCCCAUUGCUUAUGAUGCUCCUGGUACACGCUGUUUGGUUUAAGUGCCGCCCAAACCGACCCGUUCAAGUCUGUGCGGGCGCUGUGGCACGUUUCCCAGUGGGGCUACUAGGGUGACAAGCAGGUUUUUAAACCAAGGCCAAUACUCAAAUAUGCAAGAAUUGGAUAGAUGCCACCAUAAUAAUGCUAGAAGAAGAAGACCUGCAGCAGCGAUAUUGAGGUUCAGUUAAAUAAAGUUAAGUUUGAACGAGUCACCAUGUGUUUACCAUCACGCCUGGUCUUACAGUAAAGACGGGCUCUAUGGGCUUUCUUUAAAAAUCCAAUCAUUAUCAAAAUGAUCUAAAUAAUGACUACGAUAUUGAUGUUUUUUGUUGUGUUUUUGUUUGUAAUGUUUCUCAUAUUGUAAAGCUCACAUAGGCAAACAAAUGUUUGAACUGAUGUGUAAAAAUAUCUAUUAACCUUUUAUAAACUUGUAGUUUGGUCUUAACUUGUUUCAUAUUCCUGACCUUACGGUUAUACUUAUAAUUCAACGUUUCCGUCUU